CAACUUGACGUUAAGGCUCGAAAAGCAUGGGUAAGCGACCAGGAUUAGAUACCCCUGGUAAGUCCAUCCCGGUAAACGAUGAAGUUGCUUAGGUGUUGAAGGGUUUCCGGCCCUUCAAGUGCCGAAGCUAACGCAUUAAGCACUCCGGCUUGGGGAGUACGGACCGCAAGGUUGAAACUCAAAGGAAUUGACGGGGGCCCGCACAAGCGGUGGAGCAUGUGGUUUAAUUCGAAGCUACGCGAAGAACCUUACCAGGUCUUGACAUCUUGCGCUAACCUUAGAGAUAAGGCGUUCCCUUCGGGGACGCAAUGACAGGUGGUGCAUGGUCGUCGUCAGCUCGUGUCGUGAGAUGUUGGGUUAAGUCCCGCAACGAGCGCAACCCUUGUUACUAGUUGCCAGCAUUAAGUUGGGCACUCUAGUGAGACUGCCGGUGACAAACCGGAGGAAGGUGGGGACGACGUCAGAUCAUCAUGCCCCUUAUGACCUGGGCUACACACGUGCUACAAUGGACGGUACAACGAGUCGCAAACUCGCGAGAGUAAGCUAAUCUCUUAAAGCCGUUCUCAGUUCGGACUGUAGGCUGCAACUCGCCUACACGAAGUCGGAAUCGCUAGUAAUCGCGGAUCAGCAUGCCGCGGUGAAUACGUUCCCGGGCCUUGUACACACCGCCCGUCACACCAUGGGAGUUUGUAACGCCCAAAGUCGGUGGCCUAACCUUUAUGGAGGGAGCCGCCUAAGGCGGGACAGAUGACUGGGGUGAAGUCGUAACAAGGUAGCC
rnacentral:rRNA from 1 species